UUGCUGUGGAGCAAAGUUAAGGUUGCUUGACUCUUAGGCACUUCUUUGGCCAUGACCUCCUGCUUCUGGUUCUCCUGAUAAAAUGCUGGAGGCUCAGUCCAAGGUAACCAGCAAGAAGUGGGCUCAGGAGGACAGAGCUCUGGCUUCCCAAUUGCAUGUUCGUUCACAGGCUCCUACCUCUGCCAUUGCAGGUUCCUUGACUUUGGCCUUCAGUCCUGACUUAAUUUCUUUGCUUAUGGGUAAAACAAGGAAUUCCUGUCACACUGCCAACAUCACCCCCUUUCUUCUCACCCCAAGGAGAGUGCAGAGAGGAGGCGAGACCAAGCCUGCCCAGAGUUGGAGUCUUGAGACGUGAGAUUCUCCAGCUGGAGCCCUAUAAAUUGGACUGACAAAAGACAGAUUAGCAAGAGAAAUGCAAGCAGCAGUUUAUUAACAUGUGCAUCAUGAUUACACAUGGAAGUACCCAGAGGCAGAAUUAAAGAUUCAAGAUGUACCUACUUCUUCCGGGGACAACAUUCAUGAUUCUUAAAGAUUUCACAAGUGUACCUUCUAAGGGUAAGUGGCUGGAAGUAGUAAGAGGUCAAUGCCAAGUGAAAUCCUCUGGCGUUUUCUUCUGACAACCAGGAGUCUGCAAAGUGUUUCACACAGCAAAGCCCAGGAGCACAGGUCUUGCAGCCUCUGGAUAACCAACUCGUCUCUCACCAGUGGUUCAAAAAAGCCCAUGCUAUCCUCAUCCAAAUAAACUUAUGAAAUGCUUUACCAAAUGAUUUGUUCAGAACAGUGAAUACUAGACACAACUUUGUGUGGAACAAGAGGAGAUCCAGUAAUGACAAUACAUCUUUUGUUAGAAAGACUUACAAAGGCUGUGACAUUCUUCUUUGAAGUGUUGUCAUUGUGUUGGAUGGGAUGAAGUGGUUCUAGGACACACAAAAAAGGAUCAAGAACAUCUGAGAAGACUACAGAUAAGUCCUUACUGCUGAUUUUGGACACAGGUCAGCCAUAUGAAGAUUCAGAUGAGCAGUCUGUGCUUCCUUUGCCUUAUCUCUCAAGAGCUGAGACCUUAUUUCUAUUCCACCUUGAACAAUUUUGUUUGAGUACAACAUAUUUACUGAUAUGGUCAGCUCAAGUCAUUGUGGAAUGAAUACUUAGAUGCUGCGUUCUUCCAAAAACUGAGCAGAACCUCCCUUCUGUGAACAUUUUCAAUAGGUUGUUUUCAAGGUGAGAAAGUGGGAGGGAGAAGGGGAUGAGCAUUGAAGUAAAUAUUUUUUUCUUCUUCUACUUUUGCUACUGGGAAUGUUCCUAUCCAGGAAGGCAGGUCCCCUUUUAUUUUAUCAGAUGCAGAGGAGUUAUCGUACCUCUGUUACCAAUUCUUUAUCCAUAAUUUAUGUUAGUAACAAGGGACCUGUUGCUAGCAGUUACUGAUGAAAACAAAAGCUGGUGGCUUUCUGGAAGAAGGGGGCGUGUGAUCUCAAGAGAGUUGCAUCAUGGCCAUACUCCUCUAAGUUUCUAAUUUUUUUUCCUUUUUUUUUUUUUUUGAGACAGAGUCUCAUUCUGUUGCCCAAAGUGGAGUGCAGUGGCUCGAUUUCAGCUCACUGCAACUUCCGCCUCCCGGGUUCAAGCAACUCUCCUGCCUCAGCCUCCCGAGUAACUGUGACUACAGGCCCGUGCCACUAUGCCUGGCUAAUUUUUGUAUUUUUUGUACAGACAGGGUUUUUCUAUAUUGAGCACGCUGGUCUCAAACUCCUGACUUCAGGGGAUCUGCCUGCCUCGGCCUCCCCAAGUGCUGGGAUUACAGGCAUGAGCCACCACGCCUGGCUUCUAAUUGUCUUUUUAAAAGCCUUUUCCCCUUUUGUGUGUGUGAGUUAUCUUCACUCUCACUGGCCACCAAUAACAAAAAAAAAAAAAAAAGAAAAGAAAUAAAGAAGUGGGAGAUGUUUAGAACAUUUCUGUGAUGUCAAGGCAGAUCCAGUAAUUAAAGUUUUCCCUUCUUCCUAUCUCGAUUUGAUCCCAAUGCACAUUUUUUUUUAGGUAAGUAACUUCAGAUUUCCUAAUCCACUAUAGCAUUUAAUUCUCAGGCUGUUAAUGGAGUAGAAGUCAUUCCUGUGGCUGGCAUAUCUGAACUGCCUGCAUAUCAAUAUCUGUUGAGACAUAGCACCAAAUAAUCAUUCGAAGCCCAGAAGUGAAUAAGAACAAUCCAUUCACGCGUGGGACAUUUAUUGGAUAUCGUCUAUUUUAAAAACAUUGGCUCAUCACUCUGGGAUAUGAAUAAAAAAUUAGAGGAGAAAAGAUGAAUAUAAAAACAUAUGGUAACUGAAGAAGGACUGAAGAGCUGAUGGCAAGGAUUCUGUCUCAGGUGUUUCCAAAGGCAGAGAGAGUCUACGAGUCAAUUCCAAAGACAUGUGUUCUCCCUUCCUCCAAUUCAGCUACCACCAAGGCUCCACCUGGCCCUUUAGGGACUCACGCUCCACUUACAUUUCUGGGAGGAGAACAAAACUGGUUCUUCCUUAGGAACCAAAACAGUAACAUGGGCCCUGUGCUGAUCUGAAAGGUAUUUUUAUUUAAGGAAAAGACUUGGCUUUUUUCAUGUUAAGGUUAAAUAUUUUCUCUGGGGACUGUGAUGAACACCUCCUGAAAAGUAAAAAUCUAACGGUGUGUGUGUGUGUGUGUGUGUGUGUGUGUGUGUGUGUAGGUGUGUAGGACGUUUUCUCUAGAAUUCUAAAAUUUCUUUUCUUAGGUAAUAAUUUUCACAUUUGCUAAGUUCUGAAUGAAUCUAAACUAUUUUGCUUUGAGUUUGUCUUCCUAUUACUAAUCCAUUUUCUGCUCUAGAAGAUUUUGAAGAUAAGGUAGGUUUUGAACUUAGCCCACUGACUGCCAAGCAAUAGUCAUUUACAUGGAAAGCAAAAAAAAGAAGUUAUUGGCAUCAGAAUUGACUCAGUCAUUAAAAUAUUCCACACCUAGAUUUCUCAAAGAACUAAAAACAAAACUACUAUGUGACCCAAUCUCACUACUGGGGAUACACCCAAAGAGAAAGAAGUCAUUAUAUCAAAAAGAUGUCUGUACUCAAAUGUUUAUCACAACGCUGUUCACAAUAGCAAAGACAUGGAAGCAACUGAAGUGUUCAUCAGUGGAGGACUGGAUAAAGGAAAUGGGAUAGACUAUUCACCAUGGAAUACUUGUCCAUCCAUAGAAAAGAACAAAAUCAUGUCUUUUGCAGCAGCAUGGAUGGAACCGGAGGCCAUCGUCCUAAGUGAAAUAACUCAGAAACAGAAAGUCAAAUACCACAUGUUCUCACUUAUAAGUGAGAGCUAAACAAUGAGUACACAUGGACAUACACAGUGAGUGGAAUAAUAGACGCUGGAGUCUACAGAAGAUGGGAAGGUGGGAGGGGCUUGACAAUCGGAAAGUUACCCAUUGGGUACCAUGUUCUCUAUUCGGGUCAUAAGUUCACUAAAAGCCCAGACUUUACGUCUAUGCAAUAUAUGCCUGUAAGAAAUCCACACUUGUACUCCCUAAAGGUAUAAAAAUUAAAACUAAAUAAAUAAAUAAUUAAAUAAUCCAUACCUAAACCAUUUGCAGUGGAAGAUUUUUGCACAGUUUUAUUUUCUCGGGGUCAUUUCCUACCCUGAGUUUUGGCCAUCUGCAUAUGGUUAUGGAAUUACUGUCUCUUAGGAUGCUCUUUACUCUUUCCUGAGCUGGUGAAACCUAGGGGAAUCACUAGAAUAAACUUCACUCUCUAUUUAUGCGGAUUUGCUUCACAGGGAAUCCUUUGUAUCAACUGAGUCACUGCCAUCAAAAUAUCCAUGAGAAGUUCACAUAACCUCAUUUCCCUCUGUUAAUGUUACUGAGUAAAGCACAAGACAGGAAUAUUCUUAGAGGAUAUAUGGCUUCCUCUUAAUCAGAGCUGGCUUAGAGUGGAGAAACAGGGUCCCUGGGGACAAAGCAAGGCACUCAUGAACUCUGGCCACUGUAAGACAAACAAUGGGGAGACCUUAUUCUUAAUUUAGAUUCUAAGCAAAGGUUUUCCUGGUGACCUAGUUCCUCUGGAGCAAUCGCACUGCUCCAGUGAUGUUUUAGCGACUUGCCCUGGUACCCUGAGUUCCCACCUUGCCGCUCGUCUCACAUUUUCUUUCAGGAUAUCUGGAUUUUUCCUCUGAUUUACACAUUUCCUCUAUAAUUCUGCACAAUACCAAAAAUAAAUAUAAUUUCCUUCCUCUUAAAACUCAAUAACCAUUAGGCUAGAAGAAGAGGUACCAUUUGGCAAAAAAAAAAAAAAAAAACUCUCCAUAUCACAUCCUGCCUAGCGGUAACCUCAAACUUGAUCUCACAGUGAGGACAGCCUGAUUUUUCUCAUGCUUAGGAAAUCACCAAGCCAUGGUAACACUUUCCUGGAUGUAGCUAUUGUAGCGUACUGGGGCCCCUGAGCCAUGCAGGGUCACACAGUUUGUCUGGGGUGAGAGGUCUCAUUCAAAAUGCAUUACACCAAAUUUUCCUUUCAAUGAAGUUUUGGCUGUACCACCUCCACUGCCCCACCUGUAAAAAGAGGAAACUUCUCUUAUAAGAGAAUGAGAAAAGAGGGAAGAAGGAGGAGUGUCCAGAUGGAUAGAAGGGGAGGGGAAGGUGGUUUCUUUUUUUCUUUUCCUUUUUUUUUUUUUUUUGAGAUGGAGUCUCACUCUCUCACUCAGGCUGGACUGCAGUGGUGGUAUCACUGCAACCUCCGCCUCCCAGGUUCAAGCGAUUCUCUUGCCUCAGCCUCCCAGGUAGCUGGGAACUAAAGGCGCACGCCACCACGCCCAGCUAAGAUUUUUGUAUUUUUAGUACAGGUGGUGUUUCACCAUGUUGGCCAGGCUGGACUUGAACUCCUGACCUCAGGUGAUCUGCCCGCCUCGGCCUCCCAAAGUGCUGGGAUUACAGGCGUGAGCCACCGCACCCAGCCCCGGAAGGUGGUUCUAUAAAGACCUGGCCUUCCUCCGGCUCUCAUCUGCCGAUAGUCUAGAAGAGCAGAUUCUGGGAGGCCUGAUUCUACAGCUGCCCACGGAUGUUUAGAGGCACUGACGCACCAGCUUUCCUCUACCAAGGAAGAUCCCUUAAAUCACCCACAACGAACAGUGCAUCAUCUUUCAAUGGAGGCAAUUCAGCCCGUUUUUCCCAUUAUUGGAACAUAUCUCUGCUUCUCUUCCUGAGCACUAAAGUAGUUGGCAUGCAUUUAGGAGCCAUGUUGUGUGAAAAAUAUGGCUCACCAUGUAGUUGGAUGUGAGUAAGUUGGAUGUGACUGGGAUCUGUCUCCACUGUAAUGCAAAAGGUAUGGGCAUUCUCCCGCCUGGUCCUUGAGAUCCCUGGCGGAAUAUCUGUGAUCUUCUAAAUUUAAUAUAGUUACAGGGUAAUUGACAGGCAGGACUACACUUCCCUUCUUCCCCAGGAAAUGCCUGUAUUCAUUCUAUGUUAAAUUUGUUUGAUUUCAAAGAUCCACUGGGUAAUUCAUGGCUUCCUGCUCUUUCCCUUACCCAAAUGCCUUCCCACUCUAUUUAUGAGUCCAGAACAGGUCAACAUUUGAGGACCUAGUAAAUCAAGUUGAGUUUGGAUUUCCGUUGCAAUUUUGUGACUUCCUAUAUGAGCACUUUAUUAUCACAGAGAAGGAAGUCUGGGGAGCAGGACAGAGAUAGUUCAGAGAAGUCUCCACUAAUAUUUAUAAAGACAUUAUGUAAAAGCAUUCUCCCCAGCCCCCACAUCUCCCCUUUUUUUAACACCCAGAAUUCCAAAAGAAUGAGCAUUAUUUUCAUUGAUUGCUGCCACAAGCAAGAAGAAUAGGGCCAAUCUAUAUUUUCCCCCACAAAAUUUGGAGAGGCAUGAUAUAUAGAGAGAAGCCUAAAGGAAAAAAAUACAUGCAAGUAUAAUAGAAUGGUGUUUGCUUAUUGUGAUUUGUUAAUAUAUGUUCCUUGAACUGAACUAGAUAAAAGUAAAUAAAUACUAUGAAGAUUUGUCUUGUGCCAGUAUGCUUAAAAAGGAAUUUUAUUUCAUCCUUCCUGUCAUCUUGCAACAUUUCCAAAUAUUAAUUUAAAAAUUUCAUAAUUCCAAUAUAUAUUUUGCAUCAGGAUAAGGCAUAUUGUGUUGAAAAAAUUGUCACAAUUUUCUUUCCUUUUUUAGAGACAGAGCCCACUGUGUUGCCCAGGCUGGCCUCAAACUCCUGGGGUGAAGGAAUCCUCCCACCUCAGCCUCCCAAGUAGCUAGGACUAUUGGUGUGCACCAUCAAGCCCGCCAUCACAAUUUUCUAAUCCAUUCCCAGGCUGAUAUAAUUAUUGAACCUGAAAGAGUAAAUACAGAUAGGUGACAAAAUCAAAAUUGGAGGUUAAGCUUGUCUUGUCCAGUCCAGAUCCUGCUUUCAAACAAGAUUUGGGAUAUUGUCUCAGAGAAUUCCCAACAAAUAUAGAAUGAAAUAAAAUCCAUAUGAGAGAAACAAAUAAAGAGCUGUGGGAAAGCAAAGGAGGAGGUGGUCAGGUCUGUGAGAAAGUUCUGAGAACACUUUCACAGAGAAGAUAAUAGUGGAGCAAGAGGCAUGGACCCCACUGGUUCUGCCUUACAUGGUACCAGAAGCAGCCUAGCUUAACAGUUAGUAGAUUCUCAAUAAGAAGUUGUUGAAUUUAUAAUGGAAGGAAAGAUGAAGAGAAAAGAGCUAAAGUUAUACCCUUAGAAAAUACCUAUAUCUAGAGGGCAAAAGAAAGAAAAGGAAGACGACAAGAAGAGGAAGUAAACAGAAAACUAUGCAAUGUAUGAAGGGAUGUCAAAGAGAAU